GAAUUUUGGACAAUGGGGGCAACCCUGAUCCAGCCAUGCCGCGUGCGGGAAGAAGGCCUUCGGGUUGUAAACCGCUUUUGUCAGGGAAGAAACGCUCUGGGCUAAUACCCCGGGGUAAUGACGCUACCUGAAGCAUAAGCACCGGCUAACUACGUGCCCGCAGCCGCGGUAAUACGUAGGGUGCAAGCGUUAAUCGGAAUUACUGGGCGUAAAGCGUGCGCAGGCGGUUGUGCAAGACAGAUGUGAAAUCCCCGGGCUUAACCUGGGAACUGCAUUUGUGACUGUACGGCUGGAGUGCGGCAGAGGGGGAUGGAAUUCCGCGUGUAGCAGUGAAAUGCGUAGAUAUGCGGAGGAACACCGAUGGCGAAGGCAAUCCCCUGGGCCUGCACUGACGCUCAUGCACGAAAGCGUGGGGAGCAAACAGG
rnacentral:rRNA from 1 species